GUUUCCGUAGGUGAACCUGCGGAAGGAUCAUUACUGAAUUGUCAAACGGGUUGUUGCUGGCCCUCAUAGGGGGCAUGUGCACGCUCUGUUUACACAUCCACUCACACCUGUGCACCCUCUGUAGUUCUAUGGUCUGGGGGACCCUGUCUUCCUUCUGUGGUUCUACGUCUUUACACACACACUGUAAUAAAGUUUUAUGGAAUGUACAUCGCGUCUAACGCAAUACAAUACAACUUUCAGCAACGGAUCUCUUGGCUCUCGCAUCGAUGAAGAACGCAGCGAAAUGCGAUAAGUAAUGUGAAUUGCAGAAUUCAGUGAAUCAUCGAAUCUUUGAACGCACCUUGCGCCCCUUGGCUAUUCCGAGGGGCAUGCCUGUUUGAGUAUCAUGAACACCUCAACUCUCAUGGUUUGCCAUGAUGAGUUGGACUCUGGGGGUUUUGCUGGCCUGUGGUCGGCUCCUCUCAAAUUAAUCAGCCUCCCAGUGUUUGGUGGCAUCACGGGUGUGAUAAAUAUCUACGCUCGCUGUUGUCUGCCAGGUAACCUUUGGUCACAAAGGUUUGCUGGAGCUCACAGAUGUCUCUCCUCAGCGAGGACAGCUUUUUUAACGUUCGAUCUCAAAUCAGGUAGGACUACCCGCUGAACUUAAGCAUA
rnacentral:rRNA from 1 species